rnacentral:rRNA from 1 species
AUGCACGCUGGCGGCGUGCCUAAUACAUGCAAGUCGAGCGAACAGACGAGGAGCUUGCUCCUCUGACGUUAGCGGCGGACGGGUGAGUAACACGUGGAUAACCUACCUAUAAGCCUGGGAUAACUUCGGGAAACCGGAGCUAAUACCGGAUAAUAUAUUGAACCGCAUGGUUCAAUAGUGAAAGACGGUUUUGCUGUCACUUAUAGAUGGAUCCGCGCCGCAUUAGCUAGUUGGUAAGGUAACGGCUUACCAAGGCGACGAUGCGUAGCCGACCUGAGAGGGUGAUCGGCCACACUGGAACUGAGACACGGUCCAGACUCCUACGGGAGGCAGCAGUAGGGAAUCUUCCGCAAUGGGCGAAAGCCUGACGGAGCAACGCCGCGUGAGUGAUGAAGGUCUUCGGAUCGUAAAACUCUGUUAUUAGGGAAGAACAAAUGUGUAAGUAACUAUGCACGUCUUGACGGUACCUAAUCAGAAAGCCACGGCUAACUACGUG